rnacentral:lncRNA from 1 species
CCGAAAGCCUAGAUCUUGCUUGAUUAAUGUAGCCUUUGAGAUUCUCAGCUUCUUGGCAGUGUGUCCCUAAAGAUUCUCUUUCUUCUCCAAGAUACAGAGGAGUAAACAGGUAACUGAAGUAACACAUUCUCAAGAAGUCAAGCUCCAAGGGGCUGCUGGGUGUAAAUAUAUCCUGAAGAUUAGUAUUUAUAAUGUUGAGAUUUGGGCAGCAUCUCAUCAAGCCCUCUGUGGUCUUCCUGAAGACGGAGCUCUCCUUUGCUCUCGUGAACCGGAAGCCAGUCGUCCCAGGGCGUAUCCUUUCAACCAGAGCCUCAAUCAUGAGCGCGUAUGGGCCGUUCAGCGUUCUGUGGAAAAGUGGGAGAUACUCUGCGCGUUCUGAAGGCCAGUAA